CAUUGUAGCAGGCAAAGGAAGGAAGCAGAAUAACACAAGCACGGCAUUUUCUACAUAUGGGGAUUGGUGGUUUCAUGAUCAUGAAAGCAAUCUCUAUGUAUGCAAUUGACAACAUAUCACCCAAUUCGUCUUCGUUACUUCCUAUGCAGAUCCAAAUCUCAUAAUUUAUUCUUUUUCUAUUAGUAGUAAGUGCUAUAUAUACCUGCCGUUCCAGAUCUGUAUCAUAUCUCUUCUUCACCAUCUUCAUCUAUAGCAUUUCUUAGCUUUCUUGUUCAUAUUGCUGAGAAAAGCGUUCUGUUCAUUGUUUGUUUGUUUUGGUCAAGGGGAAUAUCUAGAUUAUCUACUGCUUCGAAUUUCAAAUGCUAUAGUAUUAUACCAUACGAUACAGACAGGGCAAUGUAUUCUGAGUUUUCUUGUUCCAGCCCUAUUGGAAGAAUGGACUGUGUCAAUUUGUUCAAGAGAUCUAUCAGUAAAUUUUAGCUAUGUUUGUUGAAUCAAACACGACAUGACUAUGUAAUUGAUGCUUCAAGCAUUUUGAUCGAGGUUAAUUUGAAGUAUCCAAAUCUUACUGGAGAUUGUUUUUGCUGAUCGAUGGCUUCUUCCGGAUUUUUUCUGAUCUGUCUACUGCACUCCGCGAUAGCCCUAACCUGUGGAUCACUCAUGGUUUUCUUCUCGGCGGAGAUCUCCGAGUUCAGCCACGGGUCGGAGACAGCUAGGAAGCUUCAAGGAUCAACGCCUCACGAUCAAUUGCUGGUUCGAACUUCAGAUUCGUUCUCGGGAUUGCUCUUGUUCACGAUCGGAUUCAUGUUGUUCAUGGUGGCUUUUGCAAAGGACAGGGAGUUUCAGAGCUUCUUCGCAAAAGGAUGCGUUGCCGUUCACGUUUCCAUGGCAGUGUGGAGGUUUGGAUUCUUGAGGAAGGUUGAAGAUCUGGCACAUGAAUGGCCCAGGCAGGCUAUUGGAGACCUGGCAUUGGCAGUUUCUUGGGUGUUCUUUCUUGUGUAUUCAUGGAGAGAGAAGUAUGAUUAGUCCUCAUAGGAUUGAUUACCCAGUACAGAGAAUUCUGUCAGCGUGAUGCAAAAAUGGCAAUACUUCCCUACACGAGCCAUGCUUUUUCAGUGUAAUUUGCAGAGACAAUGAAAGAAAUAGAGCAGGGCUGCACUUACGUCCCUUGAGUACGGCAUGCAGAUGGGAAAUGCUGCAACGGAGAGAAAGUAAUUACGCCUAAGAAAUGGAGAGGGAGAGGAUGUGACUACAUGAACACGAGGGAGUGCAACAACAAUAACAACAAGGAGAAGAAAACUAGAAUUAAGACCAAGAUGAACAAAAAAUGUAUGAAAAAUGAUGAUGAAAGGCAUAGGGAGGAGGAGGAAGAGAGAAAAGAAGAGGAAGUGACUGUGGAUGCAAAUACGAGUGAGAAGAGAGGAAGGCAAGUGUGGUGAUGGAGGGAUCAAGGUGCAGUAGAGUCAACGGGAGGGGAUGGAGGUGUUGUCAGCAAACACUAGUAGGUUACCCUUUAGCUAUCAAGGCUAAAGUCGAUGACGAUGGGUUCCAUAGAUGUGUUUCUUGUUGUGGAUGAAAGCUAUACGCCUCGUGCUAAUCCUUCAAACAACAAGCACAAGGGCUACGACUUGUGCCCUAGGAGUGAAGUACGAGGAGGAGAGAAAGGGAGGGAGAAGGGGGGAGAGAGAGGAUAGAGAGAUGAUGUUUUUAUUAUUAUUAUUAUUAAAAAAUAUAAAAAUUACUACCACUGUCGCACCCGGAAAAAUGCGACGCGAACGGCGCGCGAGCGGAGGUCCCGGCCUUCGCGGCGGGAACUGGAUCGAACGAGGAGUCGCCACCAAGAUUUUGAGGUAAAUCUCGGGAAACCGAUUAAUGGAAGAUAAGGGUGGUCUGCGAAAUCAGAGAACGGGUUCGGGAGUCGGUUGAGUGUGGGGAAGGUGUUAGGCACCCCACAACACCCGUUCGUGAGAACAGUUACCUGAAGUUUGUUGUGCUCUAUUAAUAUGGUUUUAAAAUUAUUUUAAUUAUCCCUUUUAUAUUCAUGUGUUUGAUAUAAAAAUAAUGAUAAUUGAGUGAGAAA